rnacentral:rRNA from 1 species
UACGUAGGGUGCAAGCGUUAAUCGGAAUUACUGGGCGUAAAGCGUGCGCAGGCGGUUGUGCAAGACAGAUGUGAAAUCCCCGGGCUCAACCUGGGAAUUGCAUUUGUGACUGCACGGCUAGAGUGUGUCAGAGGGGGGUAGAAUUCCACGUGUAGCAGUGAAAUGCGUAGAGAUGUGGAGGAACACCAACGGCGAAGGCAGCUCUCUGGGACGUUACUGACGCUGAGACGCGAAAGCGUGGGUAGCAAACAGG